rnacentral:lncRNA from 1 species
GGCAGGCCCACGCUGCUAGGAGAGGCUUUUCCAAAGGACACCCAUCAUUUGGGGAUUGCUGGGUAAGAGUUUGCAUUGGUGAUCAUAGAGAGCAUGGGACAUAUCUCUUCCCAUGGAGUAUCCCUAGCCCCUGCCUGGCCUGAUAUCCACCUCCUGAAGCUGUUGCAAUGAUCACUGAGGAUUAGAGUCGCCGUAGAGACUAUGUAUACCCUUUAAGCGUUCCAGAAGGAUUUUGAGAUCCUUUCCUAAAUCAAAGGUGGAAUAUUUGGGGAUUUGGAAAAUUGAGGUAAGUAAGGGCUGGUCUCAUUUCGAGCCUUUUGGAAACAAAAUUUAGCUUUGAGAAUGAAAAU